rnacentral:rRNA from 1 species
CCCUUAGAUGUUCUGGGCCGCACGCGUGCUACACUGAGUAAUUCAAUGGGUAAGGGAACGCUAGAGCAUUACCUAAUCUUGAAAUUUGCUCGUGAUGGGGGUCGACGGUUGCAAUUUUCCGUCGUGAACGAGGAAUACCUUGUAGGCGCAUGUCAUCAUCAUGCGCCGAAUACGUCCCUGCCCUUUGUACACACCGCCCGUCGCUCCUACUGAUUGGGUGAUCCGGUGAGCUGUUCGGCCAUAGCAAUGUUUCUUGAGCAGGGCAAUGAAUGUUUCGCAAACCUUGCCACUUAGAGGAAGGAGAAGUCGUAACA